AUUGAACGCUGGCGGUAUGCUUAACACAUGCAAGUCGAACGGCAGCACGGUCUGUAGUAAUACAGAUGGGUGGCGAGUGGCGGACGGGUGAGUAAUACGCAGGAAUCUGCCCUAUAGAGGGGGAUAACUCGAGGAAACUCGAGCUAAUACCGCAUAGUCUCUACGGAGUAAAGCUGGGGCAACCUGGCGCUAUAGGAGGAGCCUGCGUCUGAUUAGCUAGUUGGUGGGGUAAGGCCUACCAAGGCGACGAUCAGUAGGUGGUCUGAGAGGAUGAUCACCCACACUGGGACUGAGACACGGCCCAGACUCCUACGGGAGGCAGCAGUGGGGAAUAUUGGACAAUGGGGGCAACCCUGAUCCAGCAAUACCGCGUGUGUGAAGAAGGCCUUAGGGUUGUAAAGCACUUUAGGCGGGGAAGAAGGUAUGUAUUUUAAGAGAUAACAUAUUUGACGGUACCCGCAGAAUAAGCACCGGCUAACUCUGUGCCAGCAGCCGCGGUAA
rnacentral:rRNA from 1 species